GAGUUGUAAUUUGGAGACGGGACACUAGAGAGGAGGAAGGCGAUUAAGUGCCUUGGAACAGGCUGCCGUAGAGGGUGAGAGCCCCGUGAAUCGCUGGAGACCGAUCAAUUAGUGCCCGCCGAAGAGUCGAGUUGUUUGGGAAUGCAGCUCUAAGUGGGUGGUAUAUUCCAUCUAAGGCUAAAUAUUAGCGAGAGACCGAUAGCAAACAAGUACAGUGAUGGAAAGAUGAAAAGAACUUUGGAAAGAGAGUGAAAUAGUACGUGAAAUUGUUGAAAGGGAAGGGUAUUUGAUCCGACAUGGUGUUUAGCAGCGGCCCGUUCCUCGUGGAUGGGUGCACCUGGUUUACACUGGGCCAGCAUCGGUUCUGGGAGCCAUAUACGGGGUUCGUGAAUGUGGCCCUUCGAUUCUGUCGGAGGGUGUUAUAGCGCGGA
rnacentral:rRNA from 1 species